rnacentral:rRNA from 1 species
UUGACGGUACCCUACUAGAAAGGAGCCGCUAACUUCGUGCCAGAAGCGUCGGUAAUACGGGGGCUCCAAGCGUUAUCCGGUGUUAUUGGGCGUAAAGAGUCGUGUAGGUGGUUGGGUAAGUUAUCUUUCAAAUAUCUUUGCUUAACAAAGAGGAGGGGGAUAAUACUGCUCGACUAGAAUUUCCUCAAGGGAGAUCGGAACUGAGGGAGGAGUAGUGAAAUGCGUUGAUACCCUCGGGAACACCAGUGGCGUAGGCGGAUCUCUGGGAGAAGAUUGACACUGAGACACGAAAGCUAGGGGAACGAAGCAGAUUAGAGACCUGCGUAGUCCUAGCCGUAAACGCAUGCUUGCUAGCUGCAUGAAUCUACCUUCGGGUGGUAUCGUGUGGCGAAGGUAACCCGUUAAGCAAGCCGCCUGGAAAGUACGGCCGCAAGGCUGAAAUUCAAAGGAAUUGGCGGGGAGGCACACAACCAGUGGAACAUGUGGUUUAAUUCGAGACUAACCGAAGAACCUCACCAGGGUUUGACAUGUAGCUGCACGUCUUAAGAAAUUAAGACUCUCUUGAAGGUGCUACACAGGUGCUGCAUGGCUGUCGUCAGCUCGUUCCGUGAGGAGUGCCCUUAAGUGGGACAACGAGCGCAACCCCUAUUACAUGUUAGAAAUGUCAUGUAAGACUGCCUUGCCAUUUGGCGGGGAGGAAGGAGGGGCAGACGUCAAGUCCGCAUGGUCCUUAUGCCCUGGGCUACACACAUGUUACAAUGAGUACGGCAAUGAGUCUGUCGCGAGCACGUAAGUGUAAGCUAAUCUCUUAAAUGUACUCUCAGUGGGGAUUGAGGUCUGCAACUCGACCUCAUGAACACGGAAUUGGUAGUACUCGCGGGUCAGCUAUACCGCGGUGAUACGUUCUUGCCUCUUGCACACACCGCCCGUCAAACCAGCAAAGU